UUUACCAUGCAGUCGAACGGUAACAGGUCUUCGGAUGCUGACGAGUGGCGAACGGGUGAGUAAUGUAUCGGAACGUGCCCAGUAGUGGGGGAUAACUACUCGAAAGAGUGGCUAAUACCGCAUGAGAACUGAGGUUGAAAGCGGGGGACCUUCGGGCCUCGCGCUACUGGAGCGGCCGAUAUCAGAUUAGGUAGUUGGUGGGGUAAAGGCCUACCAAGCCGACGAUCUGUAGCUGGUCUGAGAGGACGACCAGCCACACUGGGACUGAGACACGGCCCAGACUCCUACGGGAGGCAGCAGUGGGGAAUUUUGGACAAUGGACGCAAGUCUGAUCCAGCAAUGCCGCGUGCAGGACGAAGGCCUUCGGGUUGUAAACUGCUUUUGUACAGAACGAAAGGGCUCUGGUUAAUACCUGGGGCAGAUGACGGUACUGUAAGAAUAAGCACCGGCUAACUACGUGCCAGCAGCCGGGG
rnacentral:rRNA from 1 species